rnacentral:rRNA from 1 species
UACGAAGGGGGCGAGCGUUGUUCGGAAUUACUGGGCGUAAAGGGCGCGUAGGCGGUGUGCCAAGUCAGGCGUGAAAGCCCCGGGCUCAACCUGGGAACGGCGCUUGAGACUGGCAGGCUCGAGUUCGGGAGAGGAUGGUGGAAUUCCCAGUGUAGAGGUGAAAUUCGUAGAUAUUGGGAAGAACACCGAUGGCGAAGGCAGCCAUCUGGACCGACACUGACGCUGAGGCGCGAAAGCGUGGGGAGCAAACAGG